CGGUUAUGGUGGGCACUCUAAGGAGGACUGCCGGUGACAAACCGGAGGAAGGUGGGGAUGACGUCAAGUCAUCAUGGCCCUUACGGCCUGGGCUACACACGUGCUACAAUGGUCGGUACAAAGGGUUGCCAAGCCGCGAGGUGGAGCUAAUCCCAUAAAACCGAUCGUAGUCCGGAUCGCAGUCUGCAACUCGACUGCGUGAAGUCGGAAUCGCUAGUAAUCGUGAAUCAGAAUGUCACGGUGAAUACGUUCCCGGGCCUU
rnacentral:rRNA from 1 species